CCUACGGGCGGCAUCAGUGGGGAAUAUUGGGCAAUGGGCGCAAGCCUGACCCAGCAACGCCGCGUGAAGGAAGAAGGCUUUCGGGUUGUAAACUUCUUUUCUCAGGGACGAAGAAAGUGACGGUACCUGAGGAAUAAGCCACGGCUAACUACGUGCCAGCCGCCGCGUGAAUACGUAGGUGGCAAGCGUUAUCCGGAUUUACUGGGUGUAAAGGGCGUGUAGGCGGGAAAGCAAGUCAGAUGUGAAAACCAUGGGCUCAACCUGUGGCCUGCAUUUGAAACUGUUUUUCUUGAGUACUGGAGAGGCAGACGGAAUUCCUAGUGUAGCGGUGAAAUGCGUAGAUAUUAGGAGGAACACCAGUGGUGAAGGCGGUCUGCUGGACAGCAACUGACGCUGAGGCGCGAAAGCGUGGGGAGCAAACAGGAUUAGAUACCCUUGUAGUC
rnacentral:rRNA from 1 species